CCUACGGGAGGCAGCAGUGAGGAAUAUUGGACAAUGGACGAGAGUCUGAACCAGCCAAGCAGCGUGAAGGAUGACUGCCCUAUGGGUUGUAAACUUCUUUUAUAUGGGAAUAAAAUGUUCCACGUGUGGGACUUUGUAAGUACCAUAUGAAUAAGGAUCGGCUAACUCCGUGCCAUCAGCCGCGGUAAUACGGAGGAUCCGGGCGUUAUCUGGAUUUCUUGGGUUUAAAUGGUGCGUAGGUGGUUUAUUAAGCUAGUUGUAAAAGUUUGCGGUUCAAUCGUAAAAUUGCAGUUGAAACUGGCAGUCUUGAGUGCAGUAGAGGUGGGCGGAAUUCGUGGUGUAGCGGUGAAAUGCUUAGAUAUCACGAAGAACUCCGAUUGCGAAGGCAGCUCACUGGACUGCAACUGACACUGAGGAUCGAAAGUGUGGGUAUCGAACAGGAUUAGAUACCCGAGUAGUC
rnacentral:rRNA from 1 species